rnacentral:rRNA from 1 species
AGAGUUUGAUCAUGGCUCAGAACGAACGCUGGCGGCAGGCCUAAUACAUGCAAGUCGAACGCACUCUUCGGAGUGAGUGGCAGACGGGUGAGUAACGCGUGGGAAUUUUCCUUGCAGUACGGAAUAACUCCGGGAAACCGGUGCUAAUACCGUAUACGCCCUUUGGGGGAAAGAUUUAUCGCUGCAAGAUAAGCCCGCGUCGGAUUAGCUAGUUGGUGGGGUAAUGGCCUACCAAGGCUUCGAUCCGUAGCUGGUCUGAGAGGAUGAUCAGCCACACUGGGACUGAGACACGGCCCAGACUCCUACGGGAGGCAGCAGUAGGGAAUAUUGGACAAUGGGCGAAAGCCUGAUCCAGCCAUGCCGCGUGAGUGAAGAAGGCCUUAGGGUUGUAAAGCUCUUUUGGCGGGGACGAUAAUGACGGUACCCGCAGAAUAAGCUCCGGCUAACUUCGUGCCAGCAGCCGCGGUAAUACGAAGGGGGCUAGCGUUGUUCGGAAUCACUGGGCGUAAAGCGCACGCAGGCGGAUUGAUAAGUCAGGGGUGAAAUCCCGGAGCUCAACUUCGGAAUUGCCUUUGAUACUGUCUGUCCUGAGUCCGGGAGAGGUGAGUGGAAUUCCUAGUGUAGAGGUGAAAUUCGUAGAUAUUAGGAAGAACACCAGUGGCGAAGGCGGCUCACUGGCCCGGUACUGACGCUCAUGUGCGAAAGCGUGGGGAGCAAACAGGAUUAGAUACCCUCGUAGUCC